rnacentral:lncRNA from 1 species
AGAGAAUGUAAGCUGUGCUGUAUGUUCGCAAUGUCUCAUGGUACCUGGUGUCUUGCUGUUCUCUAGGGAACUCUGACAGGGGCUUUUCUUGGGAACCCUUAUAUAGGAAGAAGGUAGUAUAGAAAAUGCUUCUGGUUACAAUCAGCUGUUGAGGUAGCAGUGUCCAUGUGUCACAACAGAGCAGUGUAGUGUGGAACAUACGCAGGUUUCUACUUCAAGGUGACAUAAAGCACGUACAGAAUUGCCUCAGUUCAGAGUCCAAAUGAGGAAUUCUGUUUUCACAUCUUCUUAGUGUUUUCUUGAUACUAGCAUUACUUUAUCCUGGUUAGGGGCUCCUGUUACAUGGAAUAGAUUAUACAACAAGGAGUGGUCCCAGGUUCCUAAUGCAGAGUCUCUGGGAGAAGCAAACCCUAACCCCAAGCCCUUAGCCACCUGUCUUCCUGUUAGUGACUCAUGCCUCUUUUUUUUCCAGGUGAAAUUGCUCAGAUAAUGGAGCAAAGUGACCUCUCUGUGAAAGACAUUGCUGUGGAUACUUUGUUUGGAGACGUGAAGGAAAUGGCAGUACGACGUCACGAUGGAGUGAGCUCAGAUGGGCAUCUGGCUCAUGUCUUCAGACAUGCAGCCAAGGAGCUGUUUGGCGAGCACGUGGAGGAGAUCACCUAUCGUGCGCUGAGGAACAAAGACUUCCAUGAGGUCACCCUUGAGAAGAACGGGGAGGUCUUACUGCGCUUUGCUGCAGCAUAUGGCUUUCGCAAUAUACAGAACAUGAUCAUGAAGCUCAAGAAGGGCAAAUUCCCAUAUCACUUUGUGGAGGUCCUUGCAUGCCCCAGAGGUAAGGAGUGUAGAAGGCCCACUGACAGCCUGUCCAACAAUACCAUGCAAGGCAGGGUGCUCCCUCAUGCCUUGGCAUGCCAUCCUCAGGCAUGAAGGUUCCCUUCCCUCAACUGUAGUGCGAGAAGUAGACAGUUGUAUCCUUAGACCUUCCCUUGUAGGUACCAUAUGGAAACCCCACUUGAUACCAUUGGGAACCAGCCCCUAAGGUCACUCACAUGGGUCAGUAUACAAGGACUCCUAGGAGCAGAAGCUGAACCUGUGCACAGUGGCAGCAGGAAAAGCAGAUGUUACUUGCCGUUCCCCAUGCUGCAGAGGAAAAUUGAAUCAUGCAAGUGUAAUGACCCCGGCAGGUGAGGAAAGUUCCCAACUAGGAUGGAGAGACACUGAGAGCAGGCCAGAACGAGGACAGGACCUGGUAGUGCCUGGGUCUCUUGCUCAGACAGUACGUGUACGUACUGAGGAAUGAAGGGAGCCAUCUGAAGUAGUCUGCGCCCUGGGUCUGAAGGAGGAGCUAUCUCCAGGUCAGGAGUGUCCAGGUCAUCCUGAGCUCGGGAUAAUGAAAGACACUCAAGUAGGACACUAACAUUCUCAGAAAGGCCCAGGGGGGCCAGGUAGUUUCUGACAAUAGUCAGUAAUGAAGAAAGGGUCCAUGGAGAGUCUGACAGAGGCGAGGCCUAUAUUUCUAGUCCAUGUCCCCAGGGAUCUUCUAGGGGAAGGAAACGGUUAGUAGUCAGCAUUUAAAAGAGGGGAUGAAAGUAGGGGCCAUCGACUUUUUCUGGGGCUCAGGAAAGUAGAUGCUGUGUUGGAGCUCGGGCUACAGUAAGUGGAGACAAGAUGGAACCUCUUGGAGGUUUGUCUGUCUGUUUGUUUUUCCUGGUGCUGAAGUCUGAACCCAAGGCGUUGUAUGUGGUAGGUAAGUGCUCUUCCACUUAGCUAUAUAUUCCCAGCCU